AAAAAAAAAAAUCCCAAAUCAAGUAUACAAUUCAACUCAGGGUUUCUCACAUUGUUCUUUGCCCAAGAUUUACGGCUCCAUCUCCUUCACCGACCCUUACGGCGUUGUUGCCGCUCCACUACUCACCACCGCCCGUCAAACCGUUGCCUCUCUUCACCGCACCGACUUCACUACCGUUGUGUUGCCGCCAGCCACUGCACCUACUUUUAGACUGCUCGACACCGACAACAACAUUGGAAAUCUGCGAUCAAUCGCCCUGGUCCCUCCAUUGACUCCUGCCAUUCUCCAUCGCCUCCAAGCACACCACCACAUUGCCGACGGAGCAACAACAGCAACACCACCUCCUCGGCGGCAACCGCCUCAUCAAUAUUUUUUUCUCUGAUAUCUAUUUUUAUUUUUUCCUUGUUUCCCCCUUUUGUGUUUCUUUUCGUCCCCUCUACCCAUUUUUCCUAUUUUAGUUUAUCUUUGUUCUUUUAGUUCUCUCCCACUAAAACAUGAUUUUCAUUGUUUCAGAUUAUUAUUUUAUUUUUUUUCUAACAACUUCUUGGGUGUUUUACAGGAACAUGAUGGACAUCCCACGACUUUCUCAGUCGCAUUGUCAUCUCUUCCCCGCCUGACAACGAUGUGGUUGGGAACCUCCACUUUCACCCUCGGCAUCAUCAUGUGCUUUUGUAGAAGGAAUGAGAGUUGCAAGAAAAUAGUUAAAAGAUAGAGAAAGGAAAUAUUCCAGUAGCAGCGCUGCCAAAAUAACCGGUGACCCAUGAGUUAUUAGAAGUCUGUGAGACAGAAACUGAUUUCACUGUUACCUGUGCCUACGGGUUAUUAGACGUGCAGUAAACUGAGAUUGAAGAUUCCUAAAUUGAGUGCUGUUUGGAAACUUGUUGUAGAGCUAGUUAUUUCCUUAUAGAAUAUUUUGAGAAAUUUGGUAGGAAUAAUACUAAAACGGAAAGAAAAGAAAGGUAAAUGGAAGGCAUGAUUUAUUGUUCCUCCUACCAUAUUGGAAACUAGCAUAAAAGGAAGAAAG